rnacentral:rRNA from 1 species
CCUACGGGAGUCAGCAGUGAGGAAUAUUGGUCAAUGGGCGAGAGCCUGAACCAGCCAAGUCGCGUGAGGGAGUACUGCCCUAUGGGUUGUAAACCUCUUUUGUCGGGGAGCAAAAGCCGGACGUGUCCGGCUGUGAGAGUACCCGAAGAAAAAGCAUCGGCUAACUCCCUGCCAGCAGCCGCGGUAAUAUGAGGGAUGCGUGCGUUAUCCGGAUUUAUGGGGUGAAAAGGGUGCGCAGGCGGAUUUUUACGUCCGCGGGAAAAUCGUGGGGCUAAACCCUAUCCAGCAGUUGAAACUGGGGAUCUAGAGUGUGCGAGAGGUAUGCGGAAUGCGGGGUGUAGCGGUGAAAUGCAUAGAUAUCACGCAGAACACCGAUUGCGAAGGCAGCAUACCGGUGCACAACUGACGCUCAGGCACGAAAGCGUGGGUAUCGAACAGGAUUAGAUACCCGAGUAGUC